rnacentral:rRNA from 1 species
UGUGGCGAAGGCGCUCGGCUGGAACGGGUCCGACGGUGAGGGACGAAGGCCUGGGGAGCGAACCGGAUUAGAUACCCGGGUAGUCCAGGCUGUAAACGAUGCGGGCUAGGUGUCACCGGAGCUACGAGCUCCGGUGGUGCCGGAGGGAAGCCGUUAAGCCCGCCGCCUGGGAAGUACGGCCGCAAGGCUGAAACUUAAAGGAAUUGGCGGGGGAGCACUACAACGGGUGGAGCCUGCGGUUUAAUUGGAUUCAACGCCGGGAAGCUUACCGGGGGAGACAGCGGGAUGAAGGUCGGGCUGAAGACCUUACCAGACUAGCUGAGAGGUGGUGCAUGGCCGCCGUCAGUUCGUACUGUGAAGCAUCCUGUUAAGUCAGGCAACGAGCGAGACCCGCGCCCUCAGUUGCCAGCGGGUCCCUUCGGGGACGCCGGGCACACUGAGGGGACUGCCGGCGCUAAGCCGGAGGAAGGUGCGGGCAACGGCAGGUCCGUAUGCCCCGAAUCCCCCGGGCUACACGCGGGCUACAAUGGCCGGGACAAUGGGUACCGACCCCGAGAGGGGUGGGUAAUCUCCUAAACCCGGUCUAACCUGGGAUCGAGGGCUGCAACUCGCCCUCGUGAACCUGGAAUCCGUAGUAAUCGCGUCUCAAAAUG